rnacentral:rRNA from 1 species
GACGAACCGUGCGAACGUUGUUCGGAAUCACUGGGCUUAAAGGGCGCGUAGGCGGCGGGUCAAGUCCGGGGUGAAAGCCCCCAGCUCAACUGGGGAAGUGCCCCGGAUACUGAUUCGCUCGAGGGAGGUAGGGGCGGAUGGAACUUCCGGUGGAGCGGUGAAAUGCGUUGAUAUCGGAAGGAACGCCGGUGGCGAAAGCGAUCCGCUGGCCCUCUACUGACGCUGAGGCGCGAAAGCCAGGGGAGCAAACGGGG